ACGCUCUCUCGCGCUCACUCUCGCGCUGCUUCUUUCUGCCCUAAUCUCCUCAUUCGACGCCGACGAUCAGCAGCGGCGGAGCGACUCACUCACCUCGGACGGUUUCCCUCGCUGGAAGCAAAGAAUAUCCGUGAUCUAGGUGUACAUUAGGCAGCUUGCUUUCCCUUGUUGAAUGCAACUCUGAAAUGGAGGCUGAAAUGUGUCUUGCAAGUCCUGUUGUGUGACCUACAAAGGGAAAUUGAUUAAGCUAGACAUCCACAUUGACAUAGACAAAGUAAGAUGGAUAACAAAAUUCAAGCGGUGGGAACGGGUGCAACUGCAGCUCUCUGAUAUGUUUGAAGAAUCGUUGACGAUUUGUUCGGUUCUUGCUUUGAAGUGUUAGGUCAGAUUCAGAUCUUGUAACCUGUUUGGGCAGCAAGUUUGAAAUUUGAUAAUUUGAGAUUGGAGCUUCGAAUGUUAAGACUGGAGGGUAGUCAAAAUUAUGCCUUUAAGCCGCGGGAGUUGUUCGUAGUUACUCGGAUUUUAGAUGAUGGGUAGAACUGUUUCUUGAUUGAAGGAAACUGUGGUGGAGGGCGGGCUAUGCGGCAUUGUUGACAUGUUGUAUUGGGAUAUGGAUGUAGAAUUUUUCAAGAUGUUGUCUUGGACUUGUCUCUGAGUUGAACACCAAUGGCCUGAGGCAUUGAUUUUUAGCCCAUAUCAGUUAAACUAUUCCCAAGCAAAAGGGUUAAAAAAUAUUUUCUUUACUGAACAUCGGAAAAUAUUUUCCGAAACAUUUUCAGGUUUUAGCCGAACACCGGA